rnacentral:rRNA from 1 species
GACGGAGGAUGCAAGCGUUAUCCGGAAUUAUUGGGCGUAAAGCGUCCGCAGGUGGCCGGUCAAGUCUGCUGUCAAAGACCGGGGCUUAACUUCGGAAAGGCAGUGGAAACUGAACAGCUAGAGUAUGGUAGGGGCAGAGGGAAUUCCUGGUGUAGCGGUGAAAUGCGUAGAGAUCAGGAAGAACAUCGGUGGCGAAGGCGCUCUGCUGGACCAUACCUGACACUCAGGGACGAAAGCUAGGGGAGCGAAUGGG